rnacentral:lncRNA from 1 species
CAGCCCCUACUCCAUCUCCUUACACUCUGCUUCUCUUUUAGCUUCAGGUGGGCCUCCUACAGAGCCAGGCUGCUCUGGUGUGGACCGUGAAGACCCUGUAGACCCAGUCCAACCGGCAAAACCCACUGCUUAUGUGAAACCCAUGAGACGGGAGCCCCCAGCUCGCGCACAGCCAGCUCCUCCUGCAGGAAGAGGCCAGCGUGGGGGAGGAAGCUGGCGGGCAGGUCGAGGCCGCGGCAGUGGGGCUGGGCUUCUCAGGGCCCUGGGCGAGAGAGUGGGGCCAGGCAUGUACCUAGUCCAUCUGAAUGACCAUGGAGAGCUAGGCUACCAGGGGCAACUGGAAGCCAGGCAGACCCCAGCCUUCUCUUUUACUGAAGCAGCUCUUAUGCCUGGAAUUGUGCAGGAAGGCCCCGGCCCCCAUGCAGCCCAGCCUGAGGUGGGGCUUCAGGAGCCACCUCCUGCUCCUGGGCCUGUGGCUGUGGCCAGGCAGACCAUGUUGGCCCCCUCUCCCUCCCUCAGUUUCAGGCCUCCGGGUGGCUCAUCUACUUUGUGCAUCGUGCAGACCUCUAAUAGCACCAUCGUGCAGAGUGUCCCAGUGUUC